rnacentral:rRNA from 1 species
GUGAGGAAUAUUGGUCAAUGGACGGAAGUCUGAACCAGCCAUGCCGCGUGAAGGAUGAAGGCGUUCUGCGUUGUAAACUUCUUUUAUCAGGGAAGACACCCCGUGUUUCUACGCGGGCCGACGGUACCUGAUGAAUAAGCACCGGCUAACUCCGUGCCAGCAGCCGCGGUAAUACGGAGGGUGCAAGCGUUAUCCGGAUUCACUGGGUUUAAAGGGUGUGUAGGCGGGCUAUUAAGUCAGUGGUGAAAUCUCUGGGCUCAACCCAGAAACUGCCAUUGAUACUAUUAGUCUUGAAUAUUGUUGAGGUUGGCGGAAUAUGUCAUGUAGCGGUGAAAUGCUUAGAUAUGACAUAGAACACCGAUUGCGAAGGCAGCUAGCUAAACAAUGAUUGACGCUGAGGCACGAAAGCGUGGGGAUCAAACAGGAUUAGAUACCCUGGUAGUCC